rnacentral:rRNA from 1 species
ACCGCAUAAGCCCACAGGUCGGCAUCGACCAGAGGGAAAAGGAGCAAUCCGCUUUGAGAUGGCCUCGCGUCCGAUUAGCUAGUUGGUGAGGUAAUGGCCCACCAAGGCGACGAUCGGUAGCCGGACUGAGAGGUUGAACGGCCACAUUGGGACUGAGACACGGCCCAGACUCCUACGGGAGGCAGCAGUGGGGAAUAUUGCACAAUGGGGGAAACCCUGAUGCAGCGACGCCGCGUGGAGGAAGAAGGUCUUCGGAUUGUAAACUCCUGUUGUUGAGGAAGAUAAUGACGGUACUCAACAAGGAAGUGACGGCUAACUACGUGCCAGCAGCCGCGGUAAAACGUAGGUCACAAGCGUUGUCCGGAAUUACUGGGUGUAAAGGGAGCGCAGGCGGGAAGACAAGUUGGAAGUGAAAUCUAUGGGCUCAACCCAUAAACUGCUUUCAAAACUGUUUUUCUUGAGUAGUGCAGAGGUAGGCGGAAUUCCCGGUGUAGCGGUGGAAUGCGUAGAUAUCGGGAGGAACACCAGUGGCGAAGGCGGCCUACUGGGCACCAACUGACGCUGAGGCUCGAAAGUGUGGGUAGCAAACAGGAUUAGAUACCCUGGUAGUCCACACCGUAAACGAUGAUUACUAGGUGUUGGAGGAUUGACCCCUUCAGUGCCGCAGUUAACACAAUAAGUAAUCCACCUGGGGAGUA